ACAGCGUGAGGAAUCAUCGAGAACCUGAUAAAGCAAUUUGUAUUCUAUUUUCUCAUCCAUGGAGGAGCUCCUCUCGAAGAGAGUCUUAUCAUUUCCUUAUCUUUUUACUCAAUACAUAUGAAUUUCACAACUGAUUGUUCAUUUCCUUUCAAUUCCUAGUUUGAUCUAUUACAAGUGGUAUUCAGAGCCUCCAGAGGCCGAUGAGGACCGAGUCAAGUUGAUUGAUACUCUUCAGGUACUAUCUGUCUUUUUCACUUGCUUUUUUCUUUUAAAUAAUUCUACUUGUUUGGCUGCAGGGAAAAUGUGAGGAUCCUAUAUGCAUGAGAUUUUAAAUUGUGAGUGAGAGAAGUAUUAAAUGAUUUUGCAAUCCGCCAUAAAGGAGAAAGAAAUCCGAGUUCUUGAUUUGAAAUUUCCAUUUUGUAGGUGCUGAUAACGAAAUAAGAACUUGAAUCAAUGAACCUUAGCGCUGUUGUUGGCCUUUAGUUGAAUGGAGUACUAGUGUCUUGUAAACAGAUCCUUUUAGAAAUUUUUUUUUUGCAUUUAACCUAGUGCUUUCUUAUGAAGAAAGAUAGAGAGAAAAUUUGAGAAUUAUUUAUUCCCUGCUUACUCCUAUUUUCCACGCGACUUAAGUGGAUAAUAUCAUAAUAAGCAUUGUAGUUCAACUAGACCUAGAAAUUCGUGAAUGCCGUAUGGCCCGUAAUUGGUAUUUACCGAAAUGGACCUCUAGAAAUGCAUUUCAGAGUGAAUUCAAAAUCCCUAUUCAUGAGGUGGCAAUUGAAUCCAAAGCUUUUAUGCAUUGCCAAUGGAAUGCGGUCUUCUUUCUUUUGAGAUGGUACAUGCCAUAGAAGCUCAAGAGUCUGAAAUUAUCCAUUGGUUUUCAAUGGCAUUUAUACAGAGAUACGUGCAUACACAAAAAGUUGUCAACAAUUAUUAUUCUUUAAUGAUGAGUUUUAUACCUGGAAUAGAAGUUUAUAUUAAUUUUAGGCAGGUACUACGUUGAUCUUUUUAUGGUACUGUAGGAUUGGAAGACUGAAAGGUACAAAGAAAUAAUCAAAUCUGGAACUGUGGAACCUAGACCUGGGGUUUUGAGAUUGAUGGAUGAGGCCAAGGCUGCUGUCUAGUAACCUGGAGCGCUUUCAAAGUCUUGAUUGCUUUCUCGCUGGUAUGUCCUGAAAUGGAGUCCUUGUCUUUUGGGCAUAUCAUAUCUGAGAGACUUCUUGACUAUUUGUAUACUUUAUUCUUAUAUCCAUCUGCCAUAUGUGCACAAGAACAUUGAUGUAAAGAAUUUGGAAUCCAUACAUAAUUUUGUUCUCUUUGUUUGAUUUUGUGCCCAUUUUGAUUUGGACACAAUUCUAGUCCACUAAGAUUUGGUAAUAUUGAAGUUUUGUUCUGUUAGCAUGCGUUCUGAUUAAUUUUUCAAUUUGUUUCCAAAGUAUAUAAUACUCAUAUGUGCAUGUUGAUGCAUAAACUAAAUUUUGUAACUCUGACAUUCAUGUGUUAUUGUUCUUUCUUUUCGGGUUGCAGGUGAUGAUUUAUCUGACAGCUUCCAAGAUAAUUUUUCAAUUGUGCUUUCUAUUGCUUGGAAAUUGGAUAUCAGCUCUGUAGAAUGAUCUACCUUCCAGAGGCUAGGCGUGUCCCCACAAGAUUGUUUGGUAGUGGAGGAUAGCAUUAUUGGACUACAGGCAGCAACAGGAGCUGAGAUGUCAUGUGUGAUUACCUACACCUCGUCAACAGCUAACCAGUCAUACCUUUCCAUCUGUAGCUCUUAAACAAAGAAAAUUAUGGAUACAAUAUCUGAGAUAUGCUGGCAAUUCAUAACCAGAUAGUUACUUCAUGAGAUCCUUGACUUAAUUUUUUAUCCAUUUAUUUAAUGUAGGAUUUUAAUGUUAGGUAUGGUUAUAGCCAUUUCAUUUACA